rnacentral:sRNA from 1 species
CUUGGUCAUUUAGAGGAAGUAAAAGUCGUAACAAGGUUUCCGUAGGUGAACCUGCGGAAGGAUCAUUAAUGAAUUUUGUCAGUGGGUUGAUGCUGGCGUCUUUGGCGCAUGUGCUCGCCCCUGCAUUCUUCUUAUCCAUACACCUGUGCACCUUUGGGGGAUUGUCUGAGAAGGGGUUUUCCGCGAGGAAGGUCCUGGAUUAGUGCCCUCGUUUUAUCACAAACACUUGAUUGAUCUGUGAACGUGACUGUGCCGCAAGGCCAUAAUUAUAAUACAACUUUUAACAACGGAUCUCUUGGCUCUCGCAUCGAUGAAGAACGCAGCGAAUUGCGAUAAGUAAUGUGAAUUGCAGAAUUCAGUGAAUCAUCGAAUCUUUGAACGCACCUUGCGCUCCCUGGUAUUCCGGGGAGCACGCCUGUUCGAGUGUCGUGAAUACCUCAAGCUGGAUGGCUUUAUUGCUUGUCUGGCUUGGAUGUGGAUGCUGCUGUCUUGGUCCUUGAUUGGGCUGACGGCUCGUCUUAAAUGCAUUAGCUGAUCCAUGACUUGUGUACUUGGUUCUACUCGGCGUGAUAAUUCUCUGACCGCUGAGGACAUCUGCUCUAGGGCGGAUGGCCAUGUAUGCCUUGGAUUGCUUCUAAUCGUCCUUUGGGACAAACUCACUUCACCCUUUGACCUCGAAUCAGGUGGGACUACCCGCUGAACUUAAGCAUAUCAAUAAGCGGAGGAA